ACUCCUACGGGAGGCAGCAGUGGGAAUCUUGCGCAAUGGGCGAAAGCCUGACGCAGCCAUGCCGCGUGAAUGAUGAAGGUCUUAGGAUUGUAAAAUUCUUUCACCGGGGACGAUAAUGACGGUACCCGGAGAAGAAGCCCGCCUGACUUCAGUGCCAGCCAGCCGCCGGGUAAUACGAAGGGGCGUAGCGUUGCUCGGAAUUACUGGGCGUAAAGGGAGCGUAGGCGGACAUUUAAGUCAGGGGUGAAAUCCCGGGGCUCAACCUCGGAAUUGCCUUUGAUACUGGGUGUCUUGAGUAUGAGAGAGGUGUGUGGAACUCCGAGUGUAGAGGUGAAAUUCGUAGAUAUUCGGAAGAACACCAGUGGCGAAGGCGACACACUGGCUCAUUACUGACGCUGAGGCUCGAAAGCGUGGGGAGCAAACAGGAUUAGAUACCCUGGUAGCUAC
rnacentral:rRNA from 1 species